rnacentral:misc_RNA from 1 species
UGGCCUUGACAUGUCUGGAACCCUUGAGAGAUCGAGGGGUGCCUUCGGGAACCAGAACACAGGUGCUGCAUGGCUGUCGUCAGCUCGUGUCGUGAGAUGUUGGGUUAAGUCCCGCAACGAGCGCAACCCUUGUCCUUAGUUGCCAGCACGUAAUGGUGGGAACUCUAAGGAGACCGCCGGUGACAAACCGGAGGAAGGUGGGGAUGACGUGUAACCGAAUCU